rnacentral:rRNA from 1 species
UAAGGUUUCGGGGUUAGGUUGGUUGGUCAUCGCUCGGUAUGUACUGGUCUCACUGAUUCCUCCUUCCUGAUGACCUAAUGCCAUUAAUUUGGUGUCUGGGGAAUUUGGACUGUUACUUUGAAAAAUUAGAGUGUUUAAAGCAAGCUAACGCUUGAAUACAUUAGCAUGGAAUAAUGAAAUAGGACGUUCGAUCCUAUUUUGUUGGUUUCUAGGAUUGACGUAAUGAUUAAUAGGGAUAGUUGGGGGCAUUAGUAUUCAAUUGUCAGAGGUGAAAUUCUUGGAUUUAUUGAAGACUAACUACUGCGAAAGCAUUUGCCAAGGAUGUUUUCAUUAAUCAAGAACGAAAGUUAGGGGAUCGAAGACGAUCAGAUACCGUCGUAGUCUUAACCAUAAACUAUGCCGACUAGGGAUCGGAUGAUGUUAAUUUUUAAUGACUC